UGGGGAAUAUUGGACAAUGGGCGCAAGCCUGAUCCAGCAAUGCCGCGUGAGUGAUGAAGGCCUUAGGGUUGUAAAGCUCUUUCGCCCGAGACGAUGAUGACGGUAUCGGGAGAAGAAGCCCCGGCUAAUUUCGUGCCAGCAGCCGCGGUAAUACGAAAGGGGCUAGCGUUGUUCGGAGUUACUGGGCGUAAAGCGCGCGCAGGCGGCAAUUCAAGUGAGGCGUGAAAGGCCUGGGCUCAACCUGGGAAUUGCGCUUCAGACUGGAUCGCUGGAGUCCGGGAGAGGGUGGUGGAAUUCCCAGUGUAGAGGUGAAAUUCGUAGAUAUUGGGAGGAACACCGGUGGCGAAGGCGGCCACCUGGACCGGUACUGACGCUAUAGCGCGAAAGCGUGGGGAGCAAA
rnacentral:rRNA from 1 species